rnacentral:rRNA from 1 species
GACGAACGCUGGCGGCGUGCCUAAUACAUGCAAGUAGAACGCACAGUUUAUACCGUAGCUUGCUACACCAUAGACUGUGAGUUGCGAACGAGUGAGUAACGCGUAGGUAAUCUGCCUGGUAUCGGUGGAUAACUAUUGGACAAGAUAGCUAAUAUCGCUUAAUAUUGAUUAUUCCAUGGUAAUUAAUUGAAAUGUGCAAUUGCAUCACUACAAGCUGGACCUGCUUUGUAUUAGCUAGUAGGAGAGGUAACGGGUCACCUAAGCGACGAUACAUAGCCGACCUGGGGGGGUGGUCGGCCAAAAUGGGAAUGAGACACGGCCCCGACUCCUACGGGGGGCAGCAGUAGGGGAACUUCGGCAAUGGACGGAAGGCUGAACGGGCAACGGCGCGUGAAGGAAGAAGGGUUUCGGGUCGUAAAGCUCUGUUGUAAAGGAAAAAAGAGUGUGAGAGUGGACAGUUCACACUGUGACGGUAUCUUACCAGAAAGGGACGGCUAACUACGUG